AAAUUGAAGAGUUUGAUCAUGGCUCAGAUUGAAUGCUGGCGGCAGGCCUAACACAUGCAAGUCGAACGGUAACAGGAAGAAGCUUGCUUCUUUGCUGACGAGUGGCGGACGGGUGAGUAAUGUCUGGGAAACUGCCUGAUGGAGGGGGAUAACUACUGGAAACGGUAGCUAAUACCGCAUAACGUCGCAAGACCAAAGAGGGGGACCUUCGGGCCUCUUGCCAUCGGAUGUGCCCAGAUGGGAUUAGCUUGUUGGUGGGGUAACGGCUCACCAAGGCGACGAUCCCUAGCUGGUCUGAGAGGAUGACCAGCCACACUGGAACUGAGACACGGUCCAGACUCCUACGGGAGGCAGCAGUGGGGAAUAUUGCAC
rnacentral:rRNA from 1 species